rnacentral:rRNA from 2 species
UAGAGUUUUGAUCAUGGCUCAGGACGAACGCUGGCGGCGUGCCUAAUACAUGCAAGUCGAACGAACUCUGGUAUUGAUUGGUGCUUGCAUCAUGAUUUACAUUUGAGUGAGUGGCGAACUGGUGAGUAACACGUGGGAAACCUGCCCAGAAGCGGGGGAUAACACCUGGAAACAGAUGCUAAUACCGCAUAACAACUUGGACCGCAUGGUCCGAGCUUGAAAGAUGGCUUCGGCUAUCACUUUUGGAUGGUCCCGCGGCGUAUUAGCUAGAUGGUGGGGUAACGGCUCACCAUGGCAAUGAUACGUAGCCGACCUGAGAGGGUAAUCGGCCACAUUGGGACUGAGACACGGCCCAAACUCCUACGGGAGGCAGCAGUAGGGAAUCUUCCACAAUGGACGAAAGUCUGAUGGAGCAACGCCGCGUGAGUGAAGAAGGGUUUCGGCUCGUAAAACUCUGUUGUUAAAGAAGAACAUAUCUGAGAGUAACUGUUCAGGUAUUGACGGUAUUUAACCAGAAAGCCACGGCUAACUACGUGCCAGCAGCCGCGGUAAUACGUAGGUGGCAAGCGUUGUCCGGAUUUAUUGGGCGUAAAGCGAGCGCAGGCGGUUUUUUAAGUCUGAUGUGAAAGCCUUCGGCUCAACCGAAGAAGUGCAUCGGAAACUGGGAAACUUGAGUGCAGAAGAGGACAGUGGAACUCCAUGUGUAGCGGUGAAAUGCGUAGAUAUAUGGAAGAACACCAGUGGCGAAGGCGGCUGUCUGGUCUGUAACUGACGCUGAGGCUCGAAAGUAUGGGUAGCAAACAGGAUUAGAUACCCUGGUAGUCCAUACCGUAAACGAUGAAUGCUAAGUGUUGGAGGGUUUCCGCCCUUCAGUGCUGCAGCUAACGCAUUAAGCAUUCCGCCUGGGGAGUACGGCCGCAAGGCUGAAACUCAAAGGAAUUGACGGGGGCCCGCACAAGCGGUGGAGCAUGUGGUUUAAUUCGAAGCUACGCGAAGAACCUUACCAGGUCUUGACAUACUAUGCAAAUCUAAGAGAUUAGACGUUCCCUUCGGGGACAUGGAUACAGGUGGUGCAUGGUUGUCGUCAGCUCGUGUCGUGAGAUGUUGGGUUAAGUCCCGCAACGAGCGCAACCCUUAUUAUCAGUUGCCAGCAUUAAGUUGGGCACUCUGGUGAGACUGCCGGUGACAAACCGGAGGAAGGUGGGGAUGACGUCAAAUCAUCAUGCCCCUUAUGACCUGGGCUACACACGUGCUACAAUGGAUGGUACAACGAGUUGCGAACUCGCGAGAGUAAGCUAAUCUCUUAAAGCCAUUCUCAGUUCGGAUUGUAGGCUGCAACUCGCCUACAUGAAGUCGGAAUCGCUAGUAAUCGCGGAUCAGCAUGCCGCGGUGAAUACGUUCCCGGGCCUUGUACACACCGCCCGUCACACCAUGAGAGUUUGUAACACCCAAAGUCGGUGGGGUAACCUUUUAGGAACCAGCCGCCUAAGGUGGGACAGAUGAUUAGGGUGAAGUCGUAACAAGGUAGCCGUAGGAGAACCUGCGGUUGGAUCA